rnacentral:rRNA from 1 species
GGGUGCGAUCAUACCAGCACUAAUGCACCGGAUCCCAUCAGAACUCCGAAGUUAAACGUGCUUGGGCGAGAGUAGUACUAAGAUGGGUGACCUCUCGGGAAGUCCUCGUGUUGUACCUC